UGGGGAAUAUUGCACAAUGGGCGAAAGCCUGAUGCAGCGACGCCACGUGAGGGAUGACGGCCUUCGGGUUGUAAACCUCUUUCAGCAGGGACGAAGCGCAAGUGACGGUACCUGCAGAAGAAGCACCGGCUAACUACGUGCCAGCAGCCGCGGUAAUACGUAGGGUGCAAGCGUUGUCCGGAAUUACUGGGCGUAAAGAGUUCGUAGGCGGUUUGUCGCGUCGUUUGUGAAAACCAGCAGCUCAACUGCUGGCUUGCAGGCGAUACGGGCAGACUUGAGUACUGCAGGGGAGACUGGAAUUCCUGGUGUAGCGGUGAAAUGCGCAGAUAUCAGGAGGAACACCGGUGGCGAAGGCGGGUCUCUGGGCAGUAACUGACGCUGAGGAACGAAAGCGUGGGUAGCGAACAGG
rnacentral:rRNA from 1 species